rnacentral:SRP_RNA from 1 species
GAGCCAAGAGGCAGGAGCAGCUCCUACUGAACUCCCCCAGGUCGGAAACGAAGCAAGGGUAGGUGGUUGAGCGCUCCGUGCAGGUCGGGCUCUUUU